UACGUAGGGGGCAAGCGUUGUCCGGAAUUAUUGGGCGUAAAGCGCGCGCAGGCGGCCGUUUAAGUUUGGUGUUUAAGCCCGGGGCUCAACCCCGGAGCGCACUGAAAACUGGAUGGCUUGAGUGUAGGAGAGGAAAGUGGAAUUCCACGUGUAGCGGUGAAAUGCGUAGAGAUGUGGAGGAACACCAGUGGCGAAGGCGACUUUCUGGCCUAUAACUGACGCUGAGGCGCGAAAGCGUGGGGAGCAAGCAGG
rnacentral:rRNA from 1 species